rnacentral:rRNA from 1 species
AUUGAACGCUAGCUACAGGCUUAACACAUGCAAGUCGAGGGACCGGCGCACGGGUGCGUAACACGUAUCCAACCUGCCCUUUACUCGGUGAUAGCCUUUCGAAAUAAAGAUUAAUACCCGAUAUAAAGGAUGGGGAUGCGUUGCAUUAGGUUGUGGGUGAGGUAACGGCCCACCAAGCCUUCGAUGGAUAGGGGUUCUGAGAGGAAGGUCCCCCGCAUUGGAACUGAGGCACGGUCCAAACUCCUACGGGAGGCAGCAGUGAGGAAGAUUGGGCAAUGGGCGUUAGCCUGAACCAGCCAAGUAGCGUGAAGGAUGAAGGCUUAUGGGUCGUAAACUUCUGUUAUAUAAGAAUAUGUAUUAUAUGAAUAAGGAUCGGCUAACUCCGUGCCAGCAGCCGCGGUAAUUC